rnacentral:lncRNA from 1 species
UCAAUAUGAAUAUUGUUAGGGACUAAUUUACUAAUAAACCAAACCUUUUUAAGUGGAUAAGGGGAAGAAAGUGACAAAAAAAGAUAUCAAUUCAAUAGAAAAAUAUGCAUGAUGUAGUACAAGAAACAUAUCACGAGGCCGGGUGGAAGAGGCGGGUGGGGACACUGAUAAUUCAGGGUGGUGGAGGAGUCGGGACCCGCAAAAACAAGGCAAACUAUUGAAAAUCCCAGCUGACCUAAUUCAAAAAAAAAAAAAAAACCUUUGAAAGGCGUGGCUUGUUUCUGGGCUUUCAUGCAAAACAAAACACGUGGCCCAAUAUCCCUUUAAUAUGGACAGGAAAAUGAGUAGCCUGACAUGACCCGAAUCGCUUGCAAUGGGACCCCUUGUGAUCACCUGCAUGUGAACCACCGAGCUUAUGCAUCUUAUCCAGGGAACCAUUGUCUCUUCUCCUUUCUUUCUCUUCUUUUCCUUUCUCAUCCUUUUUCAACAUCAAACAAAACCUUUCUUUUCUUUUCUUUUUUUUUUAAUCUUAUGAACUAUUAUAGCUAAUUAUUUUUCUAAUCAAAGGACCAAAAAAUAUUUAAGUUAAUUGCAUCAAACAUUCUCAAAUUAUGACAUUUAUUUUAAAUUAGUCACUAAAUUUUAAAUCUUUUCAAUUACAUCCUCUAACUAUUGAGAUUAUGUCAAUUAGGUCCUUCAGUUAUUCAAAUAAUUAAUUUAACUAUUAAAUGACUCGUCAGAUAUUAUAUGUCAUAAUUUAAAAUAAAAAUUUAAAAAAAUAAAUAUUUUAAAAUAUUAAUUUUGAGAUUUUCGAAACUUUUACAAAAGUUUUAUUCAUUACACUUUCUUUUUUUUUUUUGUUUUUUCAGUUUCACUUUGUUUUUAAUUUAAACUUUUAAAAGUUAUGCAACUACGUUCUAAUUUUCUUUAAAAUUUUCUUUUUAAAUUUAAUUACAUAAUAUUUGAUGUGUCAUUUAAUGAUUUUAAUAACAAAUAGGCUUGAUUAAUAUAACAUUAAUAGUCUAGAGAUAUAAUUAUAAUGUUUUGAAAUUAGGGACCAAUUUAAAAUGAUGAUUAUAAUUUAAGGAUGUUUAGUCAAUUAACUCAAUAUUUAUUUAGUAUUUGUACGGUCUCGGAUUAAUGGUAGAUUUUCUUGUUCAAAGUUUUUAAGCCUGUCGGCUGAUAUAAUGGGGAAAAGAAAAUUUGUUUGGGAUUAUUAUUUAAUAAUUAAUAAUUAUUUUUAUUGAAUGUAAGCAUAAAAAUAUAUAAUAUUUGAAUAUUUUUAAAUAAUAAAAAAUAUUUUUAUUUU